ACCUGCCUCAAGGCUGGGGAUAACAUUUGGAAACAGAUGCUAAUACCGAAUAAAACUUAGUAUCGCAUGAUACAAAGUUGAAAGGCGCUACGGCGUCACCUAGAGAUGGGUCCGCGGUGCAUUAGUUAGUUGGUGGGGUAAAGGCCUACCAAGACAAUGAUGCAUAGCCGAGUUGAGAGACUGAUCGGCCACAUUGGGACUGAGACACGGCCCAAACUCCUACGGGAGGCUGCAGUAGGGAAUCUUCCACAAUGGGCGAAAGCCUGAUGGAGCAACGCCGCGUGUGUGAUGAAGGCUUUAGGGUCGUAAAGCACUGUUGUAUGGGAAGAAAUGCUAGAAUAGGGAAUGAUUCUAGUUCGACGGUACCAUACCAGAAAGGGACGGCUAAAUACGUGCCAGCAGCCGCGGUAAUACGUAUGUCCCGAGCGUUAUCCGGAUUUAUUGGGCGUAAAGCGAGCGCAGACGGUUGAUUAAGUCUGAUGUGAAAGCCCGGAGCUCAACUCCGGAAUGGCAUUGGAAACUGGUUAACUUGAGUGUUGUAGAGGUAAGUGGAACUCCAUGUGUAGCGGUGGAAUGCGUAGAUAUAUGGAAGAACACCAG
rnacentral:rRNA from 1 species